rfam:Hordeum vulgare subsp. vulgare, WGS project CAJW01000000 data, contig: morex_contig_62476
GCACUUUCUGAUGCGGAGAUCACCUUCAAGAUCCUUGCUGGUCUUGAUCUGGAAUACAACCCCGUCAUAUCAGCGCUUGCGGCUCGGGUUGAACUGGUGUCUGUUCAAGAGUUGUACAACCAGCUCAUGAGAUUUGACG